rnacentral:rRNA from 1 species
CGAACGCGUCUYGGCCAAUGAUUUCAGGUGCUUGCAUUUGAAAGAUUUGACAUUGAGACGAGUGGCGAACU